rnacentral:rRNA from 1 species
AACGCGAAGAACCUUACCUGGGCUUGAACCGCACAGGACCAGCUUGAGAAAUCAGGCCUUCCCGCAAGGGACCUGUGUAGAGGUGCUGCAUGGCUGUCGUCAGCUCGUGCCGUGAGGUGUUGGGUUAAGUCCCGCAACGAGCGCAACCCUUACUCAUAGUUGCUACCCGCAAGGGAGAACUCUAUGAGGACUGCUCCGGAUAACGGAGAGGAAGGUGGGGAUGAGGUCAAGUCAGCAUGGCCUUUAUGUCCAGGGCUACACACGUGUUACAAUGCGCGCCACAAAGCGUCGCGAACCCGCGAGGGGGAGCUAAUCGCAAAAAAGCGCGCUCAGUUCGGAUUGCAGUCUGCAACUCGACUGCAUGAAGCCGGAAUCGCUAGUAAUCGCAGAUCAGCAUUGCUGCGGUGAAUACGUUCCCGGGCCUUGUACACACCGACUGUAC